rnacentral:rRNA from 1 species
GGCGAACGGGUGAGUAAUGCAUCGGAACGUGCCCAAUCGUGGGGGAUAACGCAGCGAAAGCUGUGCUAAUACCGCAUACGAUCUAUGGAUGAAAGCGGGGGACCUUCGGGCCUCGCGCGAUUGGAGCGGCCGAUGUUAGAUUAGGUAGUUGGUGGGGUAAAGGCUCACCAAGCCGACGAUCUAUAGCUGGUCUGAGAGGACGACCAUCCACACUGGAACUGAGACACGGUCCAGACUCCUACGGGAGGCAGCAGUGGGGAAUUUUGGACAAUGGGCGCAAGCCUGAUCCAGCAAUACCGCGUGCAGGAAGAAGGCCUUCGGGUUGUAAACUGCUUUUGUACGGAACGAAAAGGCUCUUUCUAAUAAAGAGGGCUCAUGACGGUACCGUAAGAAUAAGCACCGGCUAACUACGUGCCAGCAGCCGCGGUAAUACGUAGGGUGCGAGCGUUAAUCGGAAUUACUGGGCGUAAAGCGUGC